rnacentral:rRNA from 1 species
CAGUCGAGCGAGACCGGAGCAAUCCGGGGAAAGCGGCAAACGGGGUAGUAAUGUGUCGGUACGUGCCCUCAGGUCGGGGAUAGCCAGGGGAAACUCUGAUUAAUACCCGAUGAUCUCGAGAGAGCAAAGGUCCGCUGCCGGAGGAGCGGCCGACAUGGUAUCAGGUAGUUGGCGGGGUAACGGCCCACCAAGCCUUAGACGCCUAGGGGGCGUGAGAGCGCGACCCCCACCACUGGGACUGAGAUACUGCCCAGACACCUACGGGUGGCUGCAGUCGAGAAUCUUCCGCAAUGGGCGAAAGCCUGACGGAGCGACGCCGCGUGCGGGAUGAAGGCCCUUGGGUUGUAAACCGCUGUCAGGGGGGAUGAAAGCCGCAAGGCUUGACAGAGCCCCAGAGGAAGCACGGGCUAAGUUCGUGCCAGCAGCCGCGGUAAGACGAACUGUGCGAACGUUAUUCGGAAUCACUGGGCUUACAGGGUGCGUAGGCGGCUUGUUAAGUAGGGUGUGAAAUCCCCCGGCCCAACCGGGGAAUUGCGCUCUAAACUAGCAGGCUUGAGUGAGCUAGGGGUGCACGGAACUUCCAGUGGAGCGGUGAAAUGUGUUGAUAUUGGAAGGAACACCGGAGGCGAAAGCGGUGCACUGGGGCUUAACUGACGCUGA